rnacentral:rRNA from 1 species
UACGUAGGUGGCAAGCGUUGUUCGGAAUUACUGGGCGUAAAGCGCGUGUAGGCGGCUCUUCAAGUCAGACGUGAAAGCCCCGGGCUUAACUCGGGAACUGCGUUUGAUACUGUCGAGCUAGAGUGUGGAAGGGGCGAUUGGAAUUCCGUGUGUAGCGGUGAAAUGCGUAGAUAUACGGAGGAACACCAGAGGCGAAGGCGGAUCGCUGGGCCAACACUGACGCUAAAGCGCGAAAGCUAGGGGAGCAAACGGG